ensembl:lncRNA
ACUAUUAACAGAGCAUUUGAACUGACAUUAAUUUGAUUAUAUAUAUGACCUUGCCCUUGCUUUGAAUGACUUAAGCACAUCUGUGGCCACAGGACAUCACUAGUCUCUCACACUGCUGUGUGAUCUUGGUCCACGUUUCUUCCAGUCUUCUUCCACAGUUUGGUGACUGUAGUGGGUUUUUAGCCAUAACUUUGUGACCAAGGAUUUUCCAGAUAUUUUCAGGAUUAUUGGCUGGCCAUUUCAUUAUUUCAUUGUUUUAUUGGUUCAAGGAUCUGCUUUACCUGUUUUGCUGUGUGACAGGGGGCAUUGUCCUGCAUGAAAAUUGCUUGGUGAUUGGGCAAUGAACACAGGGAAGGGACUGCAUGCCACAGGAGGUUCUAAAAAAAAAUUGCAUUCACUCUGCCAUGUAGCUGUAUAAGAGGCCUAGCUCCUGGUGUAGAAAAUAUCCUCCAAACCAUGACACUUCCUCCACCACCUUUCACUAACUUCUUUACACAAUUCGGGUUCAGUCUUUCUCCAGUUUGAUGAUGAACACAAAUGUUUCCCCUUUGGACCCAAAUAAAUUAAACUUGCUUUCAUCACUAAAGUGAACUUUGGACCAGUUCUCUUUUGUCCACACUACAUAAUCUUCAGCAAAGGUUAGUCUCUGCCUUUUUAUUCUUUCCGCUGAUAAGGAUUGGUCGCUACAAACCUUUCAGUGGGGCUUUCAAUCCAAAUUCUCUUAAACAUCGAGACACUGUAUGCUGAUAUCCUUUACCCUGUUUAGUGCUGAACUGGCAAGCAAUUCCAGCUGCAGUGUUGAAUCGAUUGCCCAUUGAGAUUAUCCACAUUAUCCUCUCCUCUUGAGCAUUUGUCUUAUGUGGAUGACCAGCCUUUUUUGGGAGACUUGAAUGAGAUUGUGACAUUGUAAAGAUGCAAUAUUCUAAAUCACAGAUUUGGAAUCACCAGCUUCUCUUGCUAUGGCUGCUAUUGGCCUUCAUCUGGACAACCUGCUGUCAGAGAGUUUCAGUCCCUUUAGAACGACUUACCAUCUUGCAAAAUCUGAGAUGACCGAACACCUGAGAUGAGAUGAUGCCAACCCCCAGAAGACCUCAGAUGAUGGUAAUCCUGGAACAACAUAUAAUCGCAAACUUUAAUCGCAAAGGUUAAUUGCAACUUAUCAUUAUCAUUGUAGUUAAUAGUGUCCACCGUCUGUUUGAUUACAUGUAAUGCAAACUGCAUGAUUUACUGUACAUUUCUGCCAUAGUCACCACUAAUAACCUACUCCUAAAUGUAAUGUAGAAACAUAAUAUUUUCUGUAAAGCUGAAAAGCGCAUGAAAAGUGCUAUACAAAUAAACUUGAAUUUAAUUGAAUUGAAUUAUGCUAAGUGUCAAUCAUUUUGACAAUAGUGGUCCUGACAGAAAUUAAUUUAUUAGUAUGACUUAGUAUUACUGUAGUAGUGUCUCUCAGUGGAUCUCAUGAGGAUCUCUGUCAGCUGUAUAUGUUACAGCAGCAGCUUUCACUGACAUCAUAAACCAUACAAUGAGCUGGUGACAUGGGGUCAAGGGUCGCACUCUCCCUGCUAUUGCUGCAUGUAUUAAAAGCCUCCUCAUUUAGGCUAAUACAUCCCUGUGAACUGAUGCUGCUAAUGUGAUUUGUUGACGCUGGUGAAUGUGGGAUCUGUAGUUACUAAAUGAACAAUCUACAAUUAGAACAUUCUAGAAUCAGAACAUCAUAUCCGCUACAAGGCAAUUAGAUCCUUUUUGGAGCAUGUAUAUUAUAUAUUUUGGAGGUUCAGUCCAAAAACUUGAGUGGUUUGGUGUUUAGCUGUGAUGGUUAUUUUUGUUUGUUUUUAAAGCAGUGGGCAUCUGUUAAAUUAGGUUCCUUUGAUUGUGUGCCAAAAGACCAUUCUGACUGGACACAACUUCUGACAUGAACAACAUAUACAAUACAUGUUUUCCUAUCCUUGAAAAACAAAAAUCUAUUGUUAGUUAAAAA